rfam:Acinetobacter towneri strain 5-2Ac02 scaffold41.1, whole genome shotgun sequence.
CGCUUUUUUCGCCYAGGCGGAGCUCGGCCGCCCACACAAAUAAUGGUGGAUUUUAUCCAGAACAAUAAAGAUCGAUAUGGUGUUGAAGCGAUUUGUAGAAUUUUACCGAUUGCAGCU